UACGAAGGACCCGAGCGUUAUCCGGAUUCAUUGGGUUUAAAGGGUGCGUAGGCGGAUGGAUAAGUCAGUGGUGAAAGCCCAUCGCUUAACGAUGGAACUGCCAUUGAUACUGUCGAUCUUGAGUACAUCUGAAGUGGGCGGAAUGUGUCAUGUAGCGGUGAAAUGCUUAGAUAUGACACAGAACACCGAUUGCGAAGGCAGCUCACUAAACUGUAACUGACGCUGAGGCACGAAAGCGUGGGGAUCAAACAGG
rnacentral:rRNA from 1 species